rnacentral:rRNA from 1 species
UACGUAGGCAGCGAGCGUUGUUCGGAAUUACUGGGCGUAAAGAGUGUGUAGGCGGUGCCCUAAGUUCGGUGUGAAAUCUCCUGGCUCAACUGGGAGGGUGCGCCGGAAACUGGAGUGCUUGAGCGUGGGAGAGGAAAGCGGAAUUCCUGGUGUAGCGGUGAAAUGCGUAGAGAUCGAGAGGAACACCGGUGGCGAAGGCGGCCAACUGGACAGGUACUGACGCUGAGACUCGAAAGCGUGGGGAGCAAACAGG